AUGCAGUCGAGCGGUAGAUACCAGCAAUGGUGUUUAGAGCGGCGGACUGGUGAGUAACGCGUGGGUGACCUACCUAAAGGAUGGGGAUAGCCGUUAGAAAUAGCGGGUAAUACCGAAUACGAUUCCGUUGCGAUGGUGAUGGAAGGAAAGGGGCUAAGGCCCCGCCUUUAGAUGGGCCCGCGUCCCAUUAGCUUGUUGGUGAGGUAAAGGCCCACCAAGGCUCUGAUGGGUAGCCGGCCUGAGAGGGUGAACGGCCACACUGGGACUGAGAUACGGCCCAGACUCCUACGGGAGGCAGCAGCUAAGAAUAUUCCACAAUGGACGAAAGUCUGAUGGAGCGACGCCGCGUGUAUGACGAAGGCCGAAAGGUUGUAAAGUACUUUUGCGGAUGAAGAAUAAGGUGGGGAGGGAAUGCCCUACUGAUGACGUUAGUCCGUGAAUAAGCCCCGGCUAAUUACGUGCCAGCAGCCGCGGUAACACGUAAGGGGCGAGCGUUGUUCGGAAUUAUUGGGCGUAAAGGGCGCGUAGGCGGUUUUAGAAGUCUGAUGUGAAAUACCCAAGCUUAACUUGGGAACUGCAUUGGAAACUGUAAAACUGGAAUCACGGAGGGGGAGUUGGAAUUCCUGGUGUAGGGGUGAAAUCUGUAGAUAUCAGGAAGAACACCGGUGGCGAAGGCGAACUUCCAGCCGAUGAUUGACGCUGAGGCGCGAAAGUGCGGGGAGCAAACAGGAUUAGAUACCCUGGUAGUCCGCACUAUAAACGAUGUGCACUAGGUGUUGGGCCGAGCGGCUCAGUGCCGGAGCGAACGUGAUAAGUGCACCGCCUGGGGAGUAUGCCCGCAAGGGUGAAACUCAAGGAAUUGA
rnacentral:rRNA from 1 species